GAUGAACGCUAGCGGCGUGCCUAAUACAUGCAAGUCGAGCGAACAGACGAGGAGCUUGCUCCUCUGACGUUAGCGGCGGACGGGUGAGUAACACGUGGAUAACCUACCUAUAAGACUGGGAUAACUUCGGGAAACCGGAGCUAAUACCGGAUAAUAUAUUGAACCGCAUGGUUCAAUAGUGAAAGACGGUUUUGCUGUCACUUAUAGAUGGAUCCGCGCCGCAUUAGCUAGUUGGUAAGGUAACGGCUUACCAAGGCGACGAUGCGAAGCCGACCUGAGAGGGUGAUCGGCCACACUGGAACUGAGACACGGUCCAGACUCCUACGGGAGGCAGCAGUAGGGAAUCUUCCGCAAUGGGCGAAAGCCUGACGGAGCAACGCCGCGUGAGUGAUGAAGGUCUUCGGAUCGUAAAACUCUGUUAUUAGGGAAGAACAAAUGUGUAAGUAACUAUGCACGUCUUGACGGUACCUAAUCAGAAAGCCACGGCUAACUACGUG
rnacentral:rRNA from 1 species